GCCGGGGUGGCCGAGCACGGUUAAGGCGCGGGACUCGAGAGCAAGGCCAAGGCAUCCCGUCCCCGCAAGGGGGCCCGGGUUCAAAUCCCGGCCCCGGCA
rnacentral:tRNA from 1 species